rnacentral:rRNA from 2 species
CGGAGGAAAAGAAACUAACAAGGAUUCCCUCAGUAACGGCGAGUGAAGCGGGAUCAGCUCAAACUUAAAAUCUCCGUUGCUUGCGACGGCGAAUUGUAGUCUCGAGAAGCGUUUUCAAGACGGAUGUGUGGUGCUUAAGUUGCUUGGAACGGCACAUCGUAGAGGGUGACAAUCCCGUACGUGGCACUGCACACUGUUCACGAUGCGCUUUCUAUGAGUCGGGUUGCUUGGGAAUGCAGCCCAAAAUGGGAGG